CGCACAGCGGUGCGCUGGCUCUGCUUGUACACAGUCAGCACGCGAGCGAUAGACUUGCGGACCACCUUAAUCUUCGACAGCUUGUUGGGGGCACCGCCGGUGACCUACAGGGAACGGGAUUGAGCAGAUUGAAUUUAUGGGAACCCCCGCUAUACAAAACCGUGCCGGGAAUGUACUGCUUAGUCCCAAGAAACCGCGUGUUAGCCGUUCGGACGAUACAAGCCUUUCCCCAUGGGCGAUAAUGCAAUGGGUAAGCUCCAGUCCACGUGGCACACAGAGCUGUGAUGCAGCUCCGGCCAAGAGACACGAAGGCACACCUUGGCAACGCGCAGGGCGCUGAGCUCGCUCUUCAGGUCCUUGAGCUGACUGAUCAGCUCCUGCUUGCUCUUGGUCCUGAGCUCGUGCAUCUUGACCUUGGCUGCAAGGCCAUCGUCACAGCGGCGGCGGGGCGGCAACCACCAGCCCGGAAUGUAACGUGUUAGAUUGAUGCCGCUGACCUACUAUCGUUGCUUAAAACAAUAUCCUUGAUCGGAAAUGGAAAAGCUGUAACUAGUAUACCGCUUGGACAGGUUGCUUAAGCAUUAUGCACAAAGCCUGAUGUGCUCUGGUUCAAUUCGUUUCAAACAUUUGACGGCAUUGAAUCAACAAACUACUUCAGCCGAACGCCGACUUAUUCUGAAAUGUCGGCCGAACAAGCCCUGACCAGAGAAAUCCCUCUUAACGUACCCAUCUUGCUAGGUUUCUUGCAAACGGCAGGGCAAGGGCAAGUGCAGGGAAAGAGGGAAACAUGUGCAGGGACUCGGACUUUGGGAUUGCCGAGUUAGCUCCAGGGCGACCGCGCAGGCGGGGCUCUCUGAGAAACAGAGAACAAAUACCUACGUUAUUGUUGAAUUUGAAGACAUCAUUACACACGUUUACGCGUUAAACCUCAACGGUGCUGGCCUGAGACACCAUGGGUUUCCCUCAGAAACAAGUGGGACACAAAAGCUGGAUAACCCAGACGUGCCCUGUAAGGACUUUACAAGGUACUGUGUUUACUAGAACAUACAGCCUAAAAAACAUUAGCACGGCUGGCUAGGG
rnacentral:lncRNA from 1 species